AGAAACCAACAACAGCAGGAAAAAAAAAAUGGAAAAAAAAUACAUUUUGUUGUUGUUGGUGUGCCUUGUUGUGGCUGCGGGUGUUGGUGUUGGGGCGGAGGAAUACACCGAUUUGCAGAAAGAUUGCUUCAGUCACUGCUGGCAUGGUUGCUUUUUCCCCACAUCAUUCUGCGAUGGGUGGUGUGCUGCAGCCUGCAAAUACCCCAUCAAUCUGGGUUUAUGAAAAUGAGCACUAGAAAGUAAACUUAUCAGUGCAAGUAACGUGGUCAUCAAAAUUUUGAGAAGCUGCAAACAGAGACAAGUUUCAUCGGGUGGAUUGAAAAUUUUGAGUAUAUCACGUAAAGAUGAUAGCCUAAACAAUGAGUAAAGUAUAGCGUACGAACUAAGGAAGAUGAUUUACGCGGCACAGCCCCAACAAUAUCUAAACCAAGGGUUUCCAGUGAAGGACAUUUACCAUGUUUUUACUCACAAAGCUUUCUCAUUCAUCACUUUUUCCUCCUUCCCUCUCAUUUUUCCAUGAUCAUAAUAA